rnacentral:pre_miRNA from 1 species
CCACGACGACGACGGUGAUGAUGAUGAUGAUGAUGAUGAUAAUGAUGACAACAGCCUUUUGUCCUCAUUUUAAUUAAUUUAUCAGAAUUUGAGGCGUGUGCGACCGUCGCGAGUCAAUUAUGACAACAACGAAUGACGACGAAUCAUCAUCAUCAUCAUCAUUAUUAUUAUUAUUAUUAUUA